CCGCCGGGAUGGCCACGGCCGCCCGGGGCGACCUACCUGUGGUCAGCCGUGCACCGACCUCCUUCGGGGAACACACGACCAGGUUCGCGAAACAGGGCGUAGUGAGGCCAAGGGCCGACAUCGAGACCUGCGCGCGAC
rnacentral:sRNA from 12 species